rnacentral:rRNA from 1 species
GACGAACGCUGGCGGCGUGCUUAACACAUGCAAGUCGAACGGAGUGUCGCACGGGUGUGUGACACGUGGGUGACCUGCCCUGCACUUCGGGAUAAGCCUGGGGAACUGGGUCUAAUAUCGGAUAUUGUGGGUUGGGCCUGCGGCCUAUCAGCUUGUUGGUGGGGUAAUGGCCUACCAAGGCGGCGACGGGUCGCCGGCCUGAGAGGGUGGCCGGGCCCAGUGGGCCUGGGAAGCGGGCCAGAGGCCUACUGGAGGCAGCGGUGGAGAAUAGUGCAAGAUGGGCGGAAGGAGGAUGCAGCGACGCCGUGUGGGGAAUGACGGCUGUCGGGUUAGAAACUCCUUUCACCAGGGAAGCGGUAGAUGAAGAAGAAGCACCGGCUAACUACGUGCCAGCAGCCGCGGUAAUUC